rnacentral:rRNA from 1 species
GACGAACGCUGGCGGCGUGCCUAAUACAUGCAAGUCGAGCGGACCUCUUCGGAGGUCAGCGGCGGACGGGUGAGUAACACGUGGGCAACCUGCCUGUAAGACUGGGAUAACUUCGGGAAACCGGAGCUAAUACCGGAUAAUCCUCAUCGACACAUGUCGAUGAGCUGAAAGACGGUUUCGGCUGUCACUUACAGAUGGGCCCGCGGCGCAUUAGCUAGUUGGUGGGGUAAUGGCCCACCAAGGCGACGAUGCGUAGCCGACCUGAGAGGGUGAUCGGCCACACUGGGACUGAGACACGGCCCAGACUCCUACGGGAGGCAGCAGUAGGGAAUCUUCCGCAAUGGACGAAAGUCUGACGGAGCAACGCCGCGUGAGCGAAGAAGGCCUUCGGGUCGUAAAGCUCUGUUGUCAGGGAAGAAUAAGUAUCGGAGUAACUGCCGGUACCUUGACGGUACCUGACCAGAAAGCCACGGCUAACUACGUGCCAGCAGCCGCAGUAAUAC